rnacentral:tRNA from 1 species
GGGGCUGUGGGGUAGAUUGGUAUCCUUCACGGAUGGGGUCCGUGCGACCCGGGUUCAAAUCCUGGCAGCCCCA